rnacentral:rRNA from 1 species
UACGGAGGGGGCUAGCGUUGUUCGGAAUUACUGGGCGUAAAGCGCACGUAGGCGGCUUUGUAAGUUAGAGGUGAAAGCCCGGGGCUCAACUCCGGAAUUGCCUUUAAGACUGCAUCGCUAGAAUUGUGGAGAGGUAAGUGGAAUUCCGAGUGUAGAGGUGAAAUUCGUAGAUAUCGGGUGGAACACCUGUGGCGAAGGCGGCCAUCUGGACGUUCACUGACGCUGAGACGCGAAAGCGUGGGUAGCAAACAGG